GAGUUUGAUCUGGCUCAGGAUGAACGCUAGCGGCAGGCCUAAUACAUGCAAGCUGAACGGUAAAUAUUGUAGCAAUACGAUAUGAGAGUAGCGUAAGGGUGCGUAACACGUAUGCAAUCUGCCCUGUACAGGAGGAUAGCUCGGCGAAAGCCGGAUUAAUACUCCGUAAUAUUAUUGGGAGGCAUCUCUUGAUAAUUAAAGUCGCAAGACGGUAUGGGAUGAGCAUGCGUCUGAUUAGCUAGUUGGUGGUGUAACGGACCACCAAGGCGAUGAUCAGUAGGGGAACUGAGAGGUUGAUCCCCCACACUGGCACUGAGAUACGGGCCAGACUCCUACGGGAGCAGCAGUAGGGAAUAUUGGUCAAUGGAUGCAAGUCUGAACCAGCCAUGCCGCGUGCAGGAAGAAGGCCUUCUGGGUUGUAAACUGCUUUUGCCGGGGGAUAAAAAGUCCAUGCGUGGACAAUUGAAGGUA
rnacentral:rRNA from 1 species